rnacentral:rRNA from 1 species
GACGAACGCUGGCGGCGUGCCUAAUACAUGCAAGUCGAACGCAGUGGGUACGGGUGAGUAACACGUGGUUAACCUCCCAUCAGAGGGGAUAACACUUGGACACAGGUGCUAAACCGAUACUGAUGGCUGAACCCACGGUGCAUUAGCUAGUUGUUUAGGGAACGGCUCACCAAGGCCACGAUGCAUAGCCGACCUGAGAGGGUAAGCGGCCACACUGGGACUGAGACACGGCCCAGACCCCUACGGGAGGCAGCAGUAGGGAAUCUGCGGCAAUGGACGAAAGUCUGACCGAGCAACGCCGCGUGAGUUAAGAAGGUUUGCGGAUCGUAAACCUCUGUUGUUAGAGAAGCGGUAUCUAACCAGAAAGCCACGGCUAACUACGUGCCAGCAGCCGCGGUAAUAC